rnacentral:rRNA from 1 species
GAAAGCGAUGCUAAUACCGGAUAAUAUCUUAAAAACCUCGGUUUUAAAGAUCAAAGGUGGCCUCUACAUGUAAGCUUCUGUUUGGGGAUGAGCCCGCGUACCAUUAGCUUGUUGGUAGGGUAAUGGCCUACCAAGGCUGCGAUGGUUAGNUGGUCUGAGAGGAUGAUCAGCCACACUGGAACUGACACACGGUCCAGACUCCUACGGGAGGCAGCAGUGAGGAAUUUUGCGCAAUGGGGGAAACCCUGACGCAGCAACGCCGCGUGAGUGAUGAAGGCUUUCGGGUCGNAAAGCUCUGUCNAGUGGGAAGAACCCACAUGGUGAUAAUACCGCCAUGUGUUGACGGUACCACUGAAGGAAGCACCGGCUAACUCCGUGCCAGCAGCCGCGGUAAUACGGGGGGUGCAAGCGUUAUUCGGAAUUACUGGGCGUAAAGAGCGCGUAGGCGGUCUCGUAAGUCGGGUGUGAAAGCCCGGGGCUCANCCCCGGAAGUGCAUUU